rnacentral:rRNA from 1 species
AGCGAACGCUGGCGGCAGGCUUAACACAUGCAAGUCGAGCGGGCGUAGCAAUACGUCAGCGGCAGACGGGUGAGUAACGCGUGGGAACGUACCUUUUGGUUCGGAACAACACGGGGAAACUUGUGCUAAUACCGGAUAAGCCCUUACGGGGAAAGAUUUAUCGCCGAAAGAUCGGCCCGCGUCUGAUUAGCUAGUUGGUGAGGUAACGGCUCACCAAGGCGACGAUCAGUAGCUGGUCUGAGAGGAUGAUCAGCCACAUUGGGACUGAGACACGGCCCAAACUCCUACGGGAGGCAGCAGUGGGGAAUAUUGGACAAUGGGCGCAAGCCUGAUCCAGCCAUGCCGCGUGAGUGAUGAAGGCCCUAGGGUUGUAAAGCUCUUUUGUGCGGGAAGAUAAUGACGGUACCGCAAGAAUAAG